CAAGGAAGGCAGCAGGCGCGCAAAUUACCCACUCCCGGCACGGGGAGGUAGUGACGAAAAAUAACGAUACGGGACUCAUCCGAGGCCCCGUAAUCGGAAUGAGUACACUUUAAAUCCUUUAACGAGGAUCAAUUGGAGGGCAAGUCUGGUGCCAGCAGCCGCGGUAAUUCCAGCUCCAAUAGCGUAUAUUAAAGUUGUUGCGGUUAAAAAGCUCGUAGUCGAAUCUGUGUCGUGCGCCGCCGGUUCAUCGCUCGCGGUGUCAACUGGCGUGUCGCAGGACGUCCUGCCGGUGGACUUAGCCCCGUUUCGGCGGGGCGGUCCAACUUUAAAAUCCCACCGCGGUGCUCUUCGCUGAGUGUCGAGGUGGGCCGGCACGUUUACUUUGAACAAAUUAGAGUGCUUAAAGCAGGCUAAAAUUUCGCCUGAAUACUGUGUGCAUGGAAUAAUGGAAUAGGACCUCGGUUCUAUUUUGUUGGUUUUCGGAACCCCGAGGUAAUGAUUAAUAGGAACGGAUGGGGGCAUUCGUAUUGCGACGUUAGAGGUGAAAUUCUUGGAUCGUCGCAAGACGAACUUAAGCGAAAGCAUUUGCCAAAAACGUUUUCAUUGAUCAAGAACGAAAGUUAGAGGUUCGAAGGCGAUCAGAUACCGCCCUAGUUCUAACCAUAAACGAUGCCAGCUAGCGAUCCGCCGACGUUCCUCCGAUGACUCGGCGGGCAGCUUCCGGGAAACCAAAGCUUUUGGGUUCCGGGGGAAGU
rnacentral:rRNA from 1 species